rfam:Schistosoma margrebowiei strain Zambia genome assembly, scaffold: SMRZ_contig0000236
AUCCAGCUGACGAGUCCCGAACGGGACGAAACGCGCGUCCUGGAU